CGGGGCGCGUGACGGGAGCGAACGGGCCCUGGCGGCCAUUCCCGCCGCGGGAGAGCCCCGGCGGGCGGGGACGGGCUCCGCUGGCCAUUCCCGCCGCGGGAGAGCCCCGGCGGGAGGGAGUGGCGGGGUGGCCGGGCGUGCGGAGCGGCGCCCCCUGGCGGGCGGCGGGCUGGCAGCGCCAGCGGGGCCGGGAGCGCGGCCAGGAGCGGGCCCGGCGGGAUCGUGUUGAGUGAACUUCCCUGUCCAGAGCAUCCAGGAGCCACUCUGGCAGUAGCACUCACACCACCUGAGCUGCGACCGAAGUCCCUCCACAGCAACAACACCCACACACAGACCAGUCAGUCCUUCCGGCUCGACCCUAUACGCUUCUCCAGAAGUCCUUCAGCCGAUCCUUUGGGAAAGCAAAAAGGAAAAAGUUACAAGUGUGUUGCUUUCCAUAAUGCAAAGGUCAAACUCAAAGCAGCCCUUUUGGCUCUUACGCUGAAAUGCCCUCCUAAAGCUUUCCUAAAGUUUCAGCCUUGGUUGUCGGUCCUUGUGUUUUUAAUACAUUUUAGCACAUCUCUGGAAAUGUUUAAAAUAGGCAGAGAAAUUAAUGACCCCUGUUUCCCUGAGCACUGUCUCUCAAAUAACCACAGAACAAUUGCAGUCUGUGCUUGCAUGUGCUCUCCAGUGAGGGUCUGUCAGUUGUGUUUGUUGUGAGAGUCACGUUGCUUUAGGAAUUUUUAUGCCAGCAUUUAGUAAAUGGCAAACUAAAACUAGUUCACUUGAGAAGACAAAUGAACAUUGUUCGCACACACACACACACAUACACACACAUACACACAUUUUGAUUCUCUCUUCAGCAGACUUGGAACGAAAAGAUUUUGAAAGGAAAUUUUCUUUGGUCUUAUUUUGCUCUGCCACUGAUCACCAUAGUCCUCAGAUCCCAAGGGCUGGAUUUAUUUUUGACUGUGUUACAGUAACUAGACUGAACUUAGCAUCAGUCUAAAAAACCCAACAAGUUUUCUCCAUCAUGCAAUUUCUCCAUGGGCUGAGAACUGAAUUCUGUGCUGUGUUUCAAAUUAUUCCAGGGACCUAGAUUGGUCGCGAAUCUUAUUUCCACUUGUGUCCCUUGAAGGGAGCUGCAGAGUUUGGAGUUUGGAAACUGGGCUGUCGUGUUUCUGGCCAUUUCCCAUUUUCUGAAAGUUAACAGACAUGCACUGUUUCUCAUACCCUUUGAAAGUGGAUCUUCCCUAUGUCUUGUUUGUGUAAAUGUUUAAUUGCCUUAAUGUUGUGUCCUGUACUGCCAAAUUUUCAGUUCCUUGGGAGGGGUGCAAAGUUGCUGUAAUUACUGGCUGCAGGAAUAAACCCUUUACCAUCAUAAAUGAAACUCUCCUAUCGCCAACUGUAAGCAUUUAAAAGUGCCUUCAAGAGGGUAUAUGUUUGCAGUCAAUAAUUAAAGCUGCUUCUCACUCAUACAGAUUAAAAGAACUGCAUUUGCCAACAUUUAACACCAUUUUUUUCUUUCAUUUCCUGAUUCUCCAUAAACUUGUUCGAAAACAUUGCUCUACUGUGUAAUGCAGCUAGUGGAGCAAGAUCCCUCUUGUUACAAACUUUCACUUUUGACAAAUCCUGGGAAAAUGAUUGCACAAAGAGACAAACAUAGCUGCUUUGGCCAUCUAUGGCAUUUUUGAACUAGGUUAAUGUUAUCCUGUGCCUACUGUACAUCCUUCUUUGCCGGUGAAUAUCCUCAGUUCUUGACAUCAGGCAACAUGCUCACAAAUCCUACUCUACAGGACUGGAGAAACAACUUGGGUCGCUUCCACCUCAGAGUCAUUUGAACUGCAAACCCUCAUCUGCCAUGAAUAUUCUCCUUUGUAUAUAGAAAGUUUUGUAAUAAAUUUUCCUCUUUGUGUGAAGACAUGCUGCAUGUGUUUGGUUUA